rnacentral:rRNA from 1 species
UACGUAGGGUGCAAGCGUUGUCCGGAAUUAUUGGGCGUAAAGAGCUCGUAGGCGGUUUGUUGCGUCGGCUGUGAAAUCCCGAGGCUCAACCUCGGGUCUGCAGUCGAUACGAGCAAACUAGAGUGUUGCAGGGGAGACUGGAAUUCCUGGUGUAGCGGUGAAAUGCGCAGAUAUCUGGAGGAACACCGGUGGCGAAGGCGACAUCCUGGACCGACAUUGACGCUGAGGAGCGAAAGCUAGGGGAGCAAACGGG